GGCCACAGCUCACACCAGGCCCGGGGUGAUGCCACCAUCCCUCAUCCUGGCCCCUUCCCAGCACAGACAUGACGUUGGACUGCCGAAAAUGAUGAGUUUUCCUGAGUGGCCCCGCGGGUCAGGAAACACAAAUUACCCUCCUCGCAGCCCGCUCCGAGGACACGAGACACUUCUAUGUCGGCGUCGGAGGGAUUUUCGAGCAGUUCCCAUGGAAAAGGAAACUCCCCAUCUCUUGUGAUCACAUACGACAGGUCCUGUGCAUGUCUCCGGUAGCUUAAAACAACACCCCGAUAUUUAUUUUCCUUAAUUAAGAUUGCAUAAGAUAGCCCUGGGUCCUGGAGACUGCUGCACAGACUGUAAUGACGCCAUGUAAAUUGGGUUUUAUGACCCAAUAUACUCCAUAUUGUCACAUUCAGCCCUUGAAUAGGAAGCUAAAAAUCUUGGUCCCUAUUUUUCUUGUUAAUUAGGGUAUUAUUACUGGGGAUAUAAUCUCAUUACUUUUUGGGGAGGAGAAGAACGAGUUGGAGCCACUUUGAAAAGUCCUGAAUGUAUUUAAAUGAAGCAAAAUCCGUCUUCCUGCUAAUUGCUGAUUUUGCAUCACGCAGAAUUCUCGGUCUGAUUUGGGGGCCGGGUUUACGCUGUGCGAAGGGAGAGGGAAAAGAUGCUCUUUGCUUUUUUCCUGCUCGGCUCUCCCAUCCAGAUGAGUGAGGGCUGCCCCAUAGGAAACUCCGUCUGCAAAUUUCCAUUCUUUUAAACAUCACAAAAAUCAAAUAAGCUGCAGCCACUUUGAGUAAUAAUCAUUUGAAUGAAAUAUUUGCUACUUUAAGAUUUUUUCCCCUCUCUCUUCUUUCAGAUGAUCCUCUUGUUUUGCAUGUGAAAAAAAUCGUCUGAGAUUUACAGCCCUCCCAAAUGGAGAUAAAGCCUUGGCAAUGAGUUGGAAACCUGUUGUAAUCUGUGAUCCAGGAAACAAAGAGCCUCAUUAAUGCAGAGACUUUGAUGUUACUUCUUUCCCAUCCUAACUGAUGGCUUUCUGGAGACACACUGACAACAAGCCAGGGUGAGCCUGUCAGCAUCAUACUUCUCUGUGCUUCAGACUGGAAAUAAAAGGAAAGUGAGGAAAGAAGCCGUUCCAUCCCAAAUUACGGGCUCUUUGGGUGCCAGCCUGCAAUCCUGCUCAGCCAGGAGACUCUGUCCUCUAGGACUGGGACUCUGUGUUAUACCCUGUUGGAAGUCUGACCUCAGUGCUCUCAUUGGAAACCUCACAGGGUGCUACAGUGCUCCUGACUGAGGAAAAGUGCUUGGAUAAAGAUGCUCCAGUCAAGGUUCUUUAUUUACUGACCAUGGUUCCUGAGAGUUGAGCCUGCCUCUGAGGAUGCUGGUGCAUGAGCAUGGGUUCUGCAGGUGUGCCUGACUGGGCUUCCCUUCCUGGGGUGACAUUACACAGGGUGCUCCAGCCAUGCCUGGACAGGCUGUCUGCAAUGUGCAAGGAUCUCACUGGGGAAACACGAGCAUCCCUGGCUGCUGUCAGAAUCCUAUUUGAGCUGGUACCAAGCGCAGCAGUCACAUGCUGCAAGAUCAUCACUCAGGCCAGUGGCAGUCUGCUGAAAAACAAAGGGUUCCUGAGCAGUCAAGACAGGAAGAUAAAGCCCUGCCGUGCUAUUUAAAGCAGGGCAUUUAUGCCUGAAUGAAGUUCCUCCAAUCUUGGAGCAGGGUGUUUGCCUGGAAAGCUGGUAUUUACAUUCCACCCCAGGGACUGAGGCACCCUUGCACGCUUUCAUGUAGCUCCUUUCUUCCAAGUUUCUGCUUUACCUCCAGCAUCGUUACUCCCACAAUUACAACGUUCAGCUCCCAUCAAGCCAUUUGUAGCUUUAUUUUUGAUGAGCAGUGCACAGAGGCGCAGACAAGAGCAGUCUGUAGCUCAUUACCCUGCUCAGAUAAAAUGCUGUGUGCUUUGGGGCAGCCCCGUGCCUUAGGAAAACGGUGGUUUACAGAUGGGGAGUAGAGACAAAGAGCGGGUGAGCGCCUGGCCCGCGAUCCCACGGGAUGCUGGAGUGGUAUUUCUGUCUAGUGCCCUAACCACUGAACCAUCCUGUCUCCUGCUUUCGGGCAAAAGAGUCUGAAAAUGCCAUUGAUUAGAAAGUGCUGGUGAAGAAAAGGUGGAACUGACUAGACUGCACCAGGAGACGUGCAAAACCAAGCAGAAGGCACUACACAGCGUGGUGGAAAUUAGCUUCAUAGAACUUCUUUCUGCUUUAAUAAUCUCAGAUGCUAUUUAGAACACAGGAGCAAGGAGAUGUCUGGGGUUUGAAAAAGCAAGAUAUUAUUUUAAGCAGCUAAAUUCCCUUUAAUUAGUCUGAAAUUUGGGCUUUAUAACAAUGUAUUUCCAUGUGUGUGCCAGAAAGUCAGGGAAACAUGGAAAUCAUUGGCAGUUCACUGCUGGGAUACAGCAGAUCAUCUCAGUGAGACCUAGAGACAUUUUCUGCUGGUAGAAAACAUUUGUUUGGUGGUCCCUUUCCUUUGCUUUGUCAUCUCCCACUGCACAUCUGGUUUGGGAUGGAAUGAAUCAGGUUGUUUAUAUGAAGCAAUAUUUAAAUGAUUUUGGGGCUUUGUAAGUCUGGAAAAGUAAUUGUCAUCUUGGUGCUUAUGAUUUGAAGCCCUUUUGCUACCCCGGGUGAGCUUGGGUCACUGUGCAA